AAGGAGGGUGGCGAAGAAAGGAAAUCAGAAGAACGGGCGUCGCGGGCGAAUACAAGGUGGGACCGAACCGUGAGAUCACUGAAGAGGUGGAGAGAAGAAGAACAGAUUUAUACAACUAAAGCGGGGGAACCAUAACAGUUUAAAGUUGCAGUAUCGCAGCUCUCCAGACUUUUAUACCUCGCAGUUAAUGAAGGAGAAUUCGACAAAUGAGAGCAACUGGUCAAAGAUUGCUGGAUACAUGAUCUGCAUGUCUUCUGGUCCUAUGCAAAUUGCCUGAAUGGGGACAGAAACAAGUUAGGAAGAUGCCAACAGAAACUCAGUUAAUUUCAUAUUUCACUUGUGUUUUUAGAAUUAUGUCUUAAGUUUUUUAAAAUUCAUUCUUGGGACGUGGGCAUUGCUGGCAAAGAAGGCAGGCAAUUAUUGUCCCUCCCUAGCUGUCAGGAAGCAGCUGGGGGCCACCUUCUUGAAUAGCUGCAGUUCGUGUGGUAUGCUUUGUAGUGCUUCGAUACAACUGAGUGGCUUGCUAGGCAACUUCAGAAAGAAGUUACAAGUUAACCACAUUGGUAUGGGAUUGGAGUCAUAAAUUGAUGGGAUAACAAUAACAGGUUUCCUUCACUAAAGGACAUUAGUGAACGCUUUGAGUGUUUAUAACAACUUUAUAACAGCUUCAUGGUCAUUUUUACUGUUAUCAGUGUUUUUUAUUUUGAGCUUUUUAAAAAAAAUGAACUGUAAUCAAAUUUUCAAACUGUCAUGGCGAGAUUUGAACUCCUACUCAUGCAAUAUCAGUCCAGGCCUCUGAAUUAUAAAUCAAAUUAACAGUUGGCAAGUGUCAUUCAGAAUUAACAGAGCCAACAUUUAACAAAGAGACUGCAAAUAAUUAGAUAGAAAAUAAAUUAUACUUUCUGUAUCAGUCUGUGUUUGUUCAGUGAUAACUGAACUUUACUAACCCUUUACUAAAUUAGAAAACUGGCUCAGGAUUAUUAAUUCGCUCUCAUGGAUCGUAAUUUAUACCUAAUGCAUAUUGCUGACACAAUGAAGUAAUAUUUCUUCCUUACUCAUCCCCAAUGAGUUGCUCUGCAUUCUCUGGAGUUUUUAUUUAAUAAAAUGGCUCCCUGUAGUGUCCAACUAAUAAAAAAUGUCAGACUUUUACCUUUAUCUUUAAGUGUUUUAACUGGACAGAAUAACUUUGUUUGCGCCAUUAAAUGAUCUCAGACACUACAGAAAUCUUAUUUACUGUUCUCAGUUAACAGCGAGAAUACACUGUUAAAACCUGCUUUACUGGUUAAUUGUAAACUUUAUCACUAAAGCCAAUAUAUAUUGAAUGUUCAACAAAUACAUGACAUCUAAAGGGUUAAUGUGCAGGAAGGUUCCUUCUACACUCUCCACCGCCCACAAAAAAAGUGACUUCUAAAAAAUGAAAAUUUCUCUCCUGUGUCUAACUUCCGCCAUUUCAAAUCUCCACCCAAGAUUCCAUAGGAAAUAAUAAUCAAAUUUACAAUAAAAGGACUCCUCCUUCCCCAACUUACCUUCUCCUUUUAGCACAUGAAGAAUACAUUCAUUUUUUCUCCCGCUCCAUUCCUCUCCUGAAGAAAUUGACUCUAUCAGUACCACUCUCUGGCUCUGCACCCAAAUGGCUAUGUUUCAUAUGUGAAUGUUGGGUGACGAUUCUAAAGCCCAGACCAAUCUUCCAGCUGCUAUCAGCUAACUCGUUACAGAUGAGGGGACCGAACCCGGGACCUUCCUAAUCUUCACACUUUAGCUAGUCAUUGGUUAAACUUGUUUAGCUGCUGGGGCAGGGGGUGGCUGUAACAUGUGUGCUGUUAAUUACCUUUACCAACAGUUACUGCCUUCCAUAUUUUUUUUCGUGAACCAUCAAUCUUAGGUUCCAAUUUCAAACAAAACUGUAUCUCGGCAAAAGCUCAACAAGACAUUUCAUGUGAAACUAGAAUUACACCAAAGAGUAGUAAUAAAUAUGUUUAUUUUGUGAAGCUUAGUCCCAUCAGGUCAAUUCUAAACCCUCUUUUUCAAGCCAUGGAUUUACAAAUUAAAUACAAUUAAAAUGCGAUGUUUAAAAGCAGACACUUGCUACACCAAAAAAACACAUAUUUCACUUAAGUUAUACGAGUGAUAAGAUAUUUGUGAAUUAAAGGAUCUUACUCUCCCAAAAACUAAGUGCAAUACAGGUCAAUUUUUUUAUCCCCUUCCUCCUUCUAUCCUGUCCCAAGAAUAUCCAGAAAUAAACUUCCAGCAGAGAUCACUGGAUAGCAAUCAGGGGACAAGGGAAGGCACCCCCCCCCCCCACCCCCCCCAUUGAUUUUCUCCUCCAUAUUUCAGGAACCGAGGCUGAUGGUACCAUUUUUAAUAUUGGCCCACUAGGGUCAGCAACUUCAGCAUAGAAACAACUUCAUUUUCUGAAUAAGCUAUAACUUUCAAUCUCUCUAAUGAUUUAGAUCUGAAUUAGCUGCUCAUACUGGGCGCUACAGCUGGUUGAGGAGACAACUGGUCAGCAUUCCCAUUUCUUGAUCACUACAAUUUGAUGGAAGCACAUGUGUGUGAGAUUGAGUGAGGAUAAGAUCAAUUUAAAGUUCUUUAAAGAGUGCAGCUUAAAGGUCAGCAAUUCAUUUAUUAAAUAUGUACCAGAAUACAAUGUAUAAUUCAGACAGGUAACCUGAGCACUGCACACUAACAUGCCCAAUAUAUGAAUGAUCUGAAAUAUUGGUUGCUGUGUUACAUAUCUGCUUUCUACAAAUGAACACUUAAUAAAACACUAACU